rnacentral:rRNA from 1 species
CCUACGGGGUGCAGCAGUGGGGAAUAUUGGACAAUGGGCGAAAGCCUGAUCCAGCCAUGCCGCGUGUGUGAAGAAGGCCUUCGGGUUGUAAAGCACUUUCAGUGGGGAAGAAAGCCUUGGGGCUAAUACCCUCGAGGAAGGACAUCACCCACAGAAGAAGCACCGGCUAACUCCGUGCCAGCAGCCGCGGUAAUACGGAGGGUGCGAGCGUUAAUCGGAAUUACUGGGCGUAAAGCGCGCGUAGGCGGUCUGAUAAGCCGGUUGUGAAAGCCCCGGGCUCAACCUGGGAACGGCAUCCGGAACUGUCAGGCUAGAGUGCAGGAGAGGAAGGUAGAAUUCCCGGUGUAGCGGUGAAAUGCGUAGAUCGGGAGGAAUACCAGUGGUGAAGGCGGCCUUCUGGACUGACACUGACGCUGAGGUGCGAAAGCGUGGGUAGCAAACAGGAUUAGAUACCCCGGUAGUC